CCUACGGGGGGCAGCAGUAGGGAAUUUUCGUCAAUGGGCGCAAGCCUGAACGAGCAAUGCCGCGUGAACGAGGAAGGUCUUCGGAUCGUAAAGUUCUGUUGAAGGGGAAAAAGAGCGGAGAGAGGAAAUGGUCUCCGAUUGAUAUUACCCUUCGAGGAAGUCACGGCUAACUACGUGCCAGCAGCCGCGGUAAUACGGAAGGUCCGGGCGUUAUCCGGAUUUAUUGGGUUUAAAGGGAGCGUAGGCCGGCUUUUAAGUCAGCUGUGAAAGUCCGCGGCUCAACCGUGGAAUUGCAGUUGAAACGG
rnacentral:rRNA from 1 species